CAGCACCUCAAGUGGUCAGGAUGAUUAUUGGGCCUAAAGCAUCCGUAGCCGGCUCUGUAAGUUUUCGGUUAAAUCUAUACGCUCAACGUAUAGGCUGCCGGGAAUACUGCAGAGCUAGGGAGUGGGAGAGGUAGACGGUACUCGGUAGGAAGGGGUAAAAUCCUUUGAUCUAUUGAUGACCACCUGUGGCGAAGGCGGUCUACCAGAACACGUCCGACGGUGAGGGAUGAAAGCUGGGGGAGCAAACCGGAUUAGAUACCCGAGUAGUCC
rnacentral:rRNA from 1 species